AAGUCGUAACAAGGUUUCCGUAGGUGAACCUGCGUGUUGAGCCUCCAGUGAUGGCGAAGCCUUACCCUAGAAACCGUCCAGCGACACUUUCAUUCGCCCGGCCAGGACUCCAGACUGACGAUAAAAGGCUCAAUUGCUCGCUUACCGCUAGGUUCUCACCAGACAGAGGUCCUGAAUCAAAGACUACUUUCGCCACUGAUUUACCAGGAUUGCUAUCAUAAUGGGCUUACAAGAGCUCUCUAAAGAUGCACGGGGGGUUUAACGUUGGUGGACAGACUGCAGGGUCCCCAUGCCCCUUUAUGACGACCAAGUUAAAUAAGGCCUCUACCACAUAGCAAGUGCGCCGUGGUAGAGGAAAACGUACAACUGUUAACAAUGGAUAUCUUGGUUCUC
rnacentral:misc_RNA from 1 species